GCCGGUUUGGUCUAGUGGUAAAGACGUCUGUCUCACAACUAUGCGCCCCCUAUAGGUUAUUUGAGGGUCAGUUCUCUGACGAGAGCACAGAAGGUCAUGAGUUCAAUCCUCAUAGCUGGUA